rnacentral:rRNA from 1 species
GAUUUCUGGUACGAUGUGCCUAGCCCGCCGGGGUUACCCGUGUGAGUGCUGGUGCGCAUCUGCCAUCCUUCUAGAAAAUGGCCUUACCCUUCACUGGGCUGAGGUCACGAUCUAGAUCUUUUACUUUGAAAAAAUUAGAGUGUUUAAAGCAGGCUUACGCUAUGAAUACAUUAGCAUGGAAUAAUAAUUUAGGACUUCGGUCUCUAUUUUGUUGGUUUCUAGAGCUGAAGUAAUGAUUGAUAGGGAUAGUUGGGGGUGCUAGUAUUCAUCGGCCAGAGGUGAAAUUCUUGGAUUCGAUGAAGACUAACUUAUGCGAAAGCAUU